GCAUAUCAAUAAGCGGAGGAAAAGAAACCAACAGGGAUUGCCCCAGUUAACGGCGAAGUGAAGCGGCAACAGCUCAAAUUUGAAAUCUGGCCCCUCGGGGUCCGAGUUGUAAUUUGUAGAGGAUGCUUUUGGUGAGGUGCCGCCCGAGUUCCCUGGAACGGGACGCCACAGAGGGUGAGAGCCCCGUCUGGCUGGCCACCGAGCCUCUGUAAAGCUCCUUCGACGAGUCGAGUAGUUUGGGAAUGCUGCUCAAAAUGGGAGGUAUAUGUCUUCUAAAGCUAAAUAUUGGCCAGAGACCGAUAGCGCACAAGUAGAGUGAUCGAAAGAUGAAAAGCACCUUGAAAAGAGGGUUAAAUAGUACGUGAAAUUGUUGAAAGGGAAGCGCUUGUGACCAGACUUGGGCGCGGCGGAUCAUCCGGGGUUCUCUCCGGUGCACUUCGCCGCGUUCAGGCCAGCAUCAGUUCGUCGCGGGGGAAAAAGGCUUCGGGAACGUGGCUCCUCCGGGAGUGUUAUAGCCCGUUGCAUAAUACCCUGCGGUGGACUGAGGACCGCGCAUCUGCAAGGAUGCUGGCGUAAUGGUCACCAGCGACCCGUCUUGAAACACGGACCAAGGAGUCGUCUUCGUAUGCGAGUGUUCGGGUGUCAAACCCCUACGCGUAAUGAAAGUGAACGCAGGUGAGAGCUUCGGCGCAUCAUCGACCGAUCCUGAUGUUCUCGGAUGGAUUUGAGUAAGAGCAUACGGGGCCGGACCCGAAAGAAGGUGAACUAUGCCUGUAUAGGGUGAAGCCAGAGGAAACUCUGGUGGAGGCUCGCAGCGGUUUCUGACGUGCAAAUCGAUCGUCAAAUAUGGGCAUGGGGGCGAAAGACUAAUCGAACCUUCUAGUAGCUGGUUUCCGCCGA
rnacentral:rRNA from 1 species